AGGACGAACGCUGGCGGCGUGCUUAACACAUGCAAGUCGAGCGGAAAGGCCCUUCGGGGUACUCGAGCGGCGAACGGGUGAGUAACACGUGAGUAAUCUGCCCCUAGCUCUGGGAUAGCUCCGGGAAAACCGGGAUUAAUACCGGAUACGACUGCUACGGACAUCUGUGGUGGUGGAAAGAACUUCGGCUAGGGAUGAGCUCGCGGCCUAUCAGCUUGUUGGUGGGGUAACGCCUACCAAGGCGACGACGGGUA
rnacentral:rRNA from 1 species